AAAAAGAAAAACAUCCAUUCAUGAGAGUCCAGGGAUACAUGAAAAUAAAGCAAAUGGGGAAAGACCCAUUCACAUUCCUCCAAAAGAUCUGCUGCUCCCUGGAAUCAUGUUCCUGGCUCCUGGUAGUCCCCAACUUUACCUGUCUGUUCCAGGAACUUGCUUUAUGGCAACUUGCUCUGGUGAUUAGUUUGGACAACCAACCUCAGACAAUAUUCAACAUCCUGUAAUCAUCAUAGCGUUCUAGAGGUCGGUAAGUCUAAUAUCAAGGUGCCAACAUCAGGCAUCAUGGCCAGCACUGUGCUUGUGAAUCUGUACCACCACUUCUCUCAUCUAUGCUUCUGUCCACAGCACUGCACUGGAGCCAGAAGAUGGAUACCUGGCAAUUGUACGUCCUGUGAAGAAAAAGAGGAGGAUGCGUUGCUUCCCUUAUGUAUCCUUAAGGGAUAGUCCAAAGGAAAAGUUAAAUAAUAGAUGAACAAUCAAUCAUAGAUACCCAAUUGAUUUCCCAAUCAAUUACUACUUCCUGUGUUGGAUUUGUUCACUUUUAGCCAUAGUUACACUUUGAAUUUCUAUAUUUCCAAGGUGAGCUCUUUUUUUCUAAAGAAGUUCCUCAAUUUUUUUGUGUAAGUAGUCUUCUGAGGAGUCUAUUUCAUUAAUUUUUGUGAUACAUUUAAUCACCCCAGGACUACAAUAUUUAAGCUGAAUUUAAAUUAUUCAUAAUAUAAUAAACUCUCUCUCUUUCUUUCUUUAUAUUUCAUUACAUAUAU